AGGUACAUUAAGUACAGGGAACAGCCUCCUCCUCUAGUAACCUGGAGAGAGGUACAUUAAGUACAGGGAACAGCCUCCUCCUCUAGUAACCUGGAGAGAGGUACAUUAAGUACAGGGAACAGCCUCCUCCUCUAGUAACCUGGAGAGAGGUACAUUAAGUACAGGGAACAGCCUCCUCCUCUAGUAACCUGGAGAGACAUACAUUAAGUACAGGGAACAGCCUCCUCCUCUAGUAACCUGGAGAGAGGUACAUUAAGUACAGGGAACAGCCUCCUCCUCUAGUAACCUGGAGAGAGGUACAUUAAGUACAGGGAACAGCCUCCUCCUCUAGUAACCUGGAGAGAGGUACAUUAAGUACAGGGAACAGCCUCCUCCUCUAGUAACCUGGAGAGAGGUACAUUAAGUACAGGGAACAGCCUCCUCCUCUAGUAACCUGGAGAGAGGUACAUUAAGUACAGGGAACAGCCUCCUCCUCUAGUAACCUGGAGAGAGGUACAUUAAGUACAGGGAACAGCCUCCUCCUCUAGUAACCUGGAGAGAGGUACAUUAAGUACAGGGAACAGCCUCCUCCUCUAGUAACCUGGAGAGAGGUACAUUAAGUACAGGGAACAGCCUCCUCCUCUAGUAACCUGGAGAGAGGUACAUUAAGUACAGGGAACAGCCUCCUCCUC